UACGUAGGGUGCAAGCGUUGUCCGGAAUUAUUGGGCGUAAAGAGCUCGUAGGCGGCUUGUCGCGUCGGCUGUGAAAACCUGGGGCUCAACCCCGGGCCUGCAGCCGAUACGGGCAAGCUAGAAUUCGGUAGGGGAGACUGGAAUUCCUGGUGUAGCGGUGAAAUGCGCAGAUAUCAGGAGGAACGACCGGUGGCGAAGGCGGGUCUCUGGGCCGAUAUUGACGCUGGAGGAGCGAAAGCGUGGGGAGCGAACAGG
rnacentral:rRNA from 1 species